AAAGGUGAAAAGCACCCCGGGAGGGGAGUGAAAUAGAACCUGAAACCGUGUGCUUACAAGCAAUCGCGGCGCGACGAAGGCGUUGCGGUGUGCCUAUUGAAGCAUGAGCCGGCGACUUACGCUAGCGUGCGAGCUUAAGGCGGGAGCCGGAGGCGUAGCGAAAGCGAGUCCGAAGAGGGCGAGGAGUGCGUUGGCGUAGACUCGAAACCUGGAGAGCUAGUCCUGGCCAGGCUGAAGCGCGGGUGACACUGCGUGGAGGGCCGAACCGGUUGGAGAUGCAAAUCCCUCGGAUGAGCUGGGAUUAGGAGUGAAAAGCUAACCGAUCCAGGAGAUAGCUAGUUCUCCCCGAAAUGACUUUAGGGUCAGCCUCGGAUGCUGAUUGCGGCCUGUAAAGCACUGAUUGGGCUAGGGGGCCUACCAGCCUACCAAACCCUGUCAAACUCUGAAGGGAUGCAAGUGGAGUCCGGGAGUGAGGGCAUGAGUGCUAACAUCCAUGUCCAAGCGCGGGAACAACCGAGACCGCCAGCUAAGGUCCCCAAGUUCGGGCUAAGUGGAUAAGGAUGUGAGGCCGCACAGACAGCCAGGAGGUUGGCUUAGAAGCAGCCGCCCUUGAGAG
rnacentral:rRNA from 1 species